UGGGGAAUUUUGCACAAUGGGGGAAACCCUGAUGCAGCGACGCCGCGUGAUUUAGAAGGCCUUCGGGUUGUAAAAAUCUUUUUUACGGGAUGAAAAUGACAGUACCGUAAGAAUAAGGUCCGGCUAAAUACGUGCCAGCAGCCGCGGUAAUACGUAUGGACCGAGCGUUGUCCGGAAUCAUUGGGCGUAAAGGGUACGUAGGCGGCCUAGUAAGUUAGAAGUGAAAUAAUAUAGCUCAACUAUAUAAAGCUUUUAAAACUGCUAGGCUUGAGAGAUGGAAGGGAAAGUGGAAUUCCUAGUGUAGCGGUGAAAUGCGCAGAUAUCAGGAAGAAUACCGGUGGCGAAGGCGACUUUCUGGUCAUCAUCUGACGCUGAGGUACGAAAGCGUGGGUAGCAAACAGG
rnacentral:rRNA from 1 species